rnacentral:rRNA from 1 species
GACGAACGCUGGCGGCGUGCCUAAUACAUGCAAGUCGAACGCACAGUUUAUACCGUAGCUUGCUACACCAUAAACUGUGAGUUGCGAACGGGUGAGUAACGCGUAGGUAACCUGCCUGGUAGCGGGGGAUAACUAUUGGAAACGAUAGCUAAUACCGCAUAAUAUUGAUUAUUGCAUGAUAAUUGAUUGAAAGAUGCUAUUGCAUCACUACCAGAUGGACCUGCGUUGUAUUAGCUAGUAGGUGAGGUAACGGCUCACCUAGGCGACGAUACAUAGCCGACCUGAGAGGGUGAUCGGCCACACUGGGACUGAGACACGGCCCAGACUCCUACGGGAGGCAGCAGUAGGGAAUCUUCGGCAAUGGACGAAAGUCUGACCGAGCAACGCCGCGUGAGUGAAGAAGGUUUUCGGAUCGUAAAGCUCUGUUGUAAGAGAAGAACGGGUGUGAGAGUGGAAAGUUCACACUGUGACGGUAUCUUACCAGAAAGAGACGGCUAACUACGUG